rnacentral:rRNA from 1 species
GACGAACGCUGGCGGCGUGCUUAACACAUGCAAGUCGAACGGAUCGUUCCUGCUUGCUGGUUGCUCUAGUGGCGAACGGGUGAGUAACACGGGGGGGGUCAGCCCUGCGCUUCCUGCUAAGCAUGGGGAACUGGGUCUUAUACACGAGUGCUAAUACCUUAUAAGAGUUUGUUGGACAGUGUUUUCGGUGUAGGAGCUCCUCGCUGCCUUGCAGCUUGUUGGUGGGGUAGUGGCCUACCAAGGCGGCGACGGGUAGCCGGCCUGAGAGGGUGUACGCCCAGCUUGGGCCCGGGCGACAGCCCAGACUCCGGAGGGUGGCAGCAGGGGGGAAUAUUGGACAAUGCGCGCAAGCCUGAUGCAGCGACGCCGCGUGGGGGAAGAAGGCCUUUGUGUUGUAAGCUCCUUUCGCUAGGGACGAAGACUUGUUGUGACGGUACCUAGAUAAGAAGCACCGGCUAACUACGUG